GGAGAGGGAGAGGGGAGCAUUCCAGCUUCUUGCCCCACCCCCAACCCACCCUCAUCCCUCUGGCUUUCUAAUAACAAACUCUGGAGAACUCUGUGCUGGGGCAAUGGUGUGUGCCCAUAGAGAGGGCUCUGAGAGCUUCCUCUGGCACGUGUGCCAUAGGUUUGCCACUAUGGAUCUAAGGGGUAUUAUGAAAAUGUCUGAUUAUGAAGAGAUGCCAUCCAGUCAUUCACCAGACUAUGAUCUACUCCAGGUUUUGAACACCAUGCUUUCCUCAUCUCUUCCAAUCAGGCUGUGGAUAAGUGACAAGCCUCAGACUCGUUGAUGCACUUGCCCUUUUGGGAAGUGGGAAAUGAAACACCAGAAUCAGAUUCAAGCAAAACUGAGUUCCAAUCCUUCAAAAGGGAAAAAAGUUGGAGAGCAAGAUAGGAGAAGUCAAAAGAAGGGACUCAGUUCCUGAAAAUGAUCCAUGAACCAAAUGCCCUAAGAAGCUCUCCUUCACUGAAGUGGUCCUGGAGAAAUGCUGCUGGGUUUGGAGUCACUGAAUCAUACAAUCUUGACUGGAAGGGAGCCCGGACGUCAUUGCAGUAUAUCUUGUACCUGAAUAGGAAUUCCCCAUUCAACCUCCUCAAGAUGUGGCCAUCCAAUGUCUACUUUAAUGAUUUUUAAAUUGGAUUCCACGAACUUUUUUUUUGUUUUGAUAUUUUAAUAACUAGACUUCAACAUAACCAGUUUCCUUUAUAGUUCUAUAUAUUUUAUUUUAUGCAUUUAAAAGAGGUGCAUAGACUUUACCAGACUGUCAAAGGAGUUCAAGGAUACCAAAAAAGGUUAAUUCAUGAUCUACCUACAGAGACAUGCUGAGAGAAAACCCUCCUCGUUCCUGAGUGAGCCCAGUCCACUUUAAGGCAGUGUGAACUUUAGAGACUUGUAGAUUUUUCAGAAGGUUUAAGAUCAUAAAUACUUUUUUGAGAAAAGAUUUGGCAGUAUGCACAGCUCCAGAAUUAAUAUUUGAAGAAUACCUUGUGAAUGUGCACCUCUAGAGAAAGAACUGAUAUAUAGAAACAUGAAAGACAUAAUUUAUAUAUACAUAUUUUUUUGAUGGAUGAUGUUUUCUGUGGUGCAGAAAAGGGAGAGUGAGAUACCUGGGAAUCUGAAUAAAACCAACUAAUUAAUUAAUUAACUUUAAAGG
rnacentral:lncRNA from 1 species